CAGUGGGGGAUUUUCCGCAAUGGGCGAAAGCCUGACGGAGCAAUGCCGCGUGGAGGUGGAAGGCCUACGGGUCGUCAACUUCUUUUCUCGGAGAAGAAACAAUGACGGUAUCUGAGGAAUAAGCAUCGGCUAACUCUGUGUCAG
rnacentral:rRNA from 1 species